rnacentral:lncRNA from 1 species
AUGUUCUUCAGCCUUGGCAAGCUAUCUGUUCAGACAUCUGCAAACAAGAUGAGUCCACAGCAGACACUCUGCUGGCUGUUGAAUUGGAUCACAGUGCUGCAAUCCUGUUUCCAUGGUUUGGGGCCUUGGAAAGAAUGCUGUUUUUCUUGUCACUCUCACCACUACCCCAUUCGAUCACCUUUAUCUUCUGAGACCAAUCCAAGCCUAAAGGGAGAAGGCAAGGCAUCAUCUUAUUUCAAUUGCUUCAAUCUGAGAUCAAAUGUAAUCAGCAGUGGGAAGAGGAGAGGAUGGUGGCCAAAAUCUUGCUCUUCCCAGCAAACUCAACAAAAGCGAAAUAUUUGA